CAGUCGCCGCGGUAAUACGAAGGGUGCAAGCGUUACUCGGAAUUACUGGGCGUAAAGCGUGCGUAGGUGGUGGUUUAAGUCCGUUGUGAAAGCCCUGGGCUCAACCUGGGAAUUGCAGUGGAUACUGGGUCACUAGAGUGUGGUAGAGGAUAGUGGAAUUUCCGGUGUAGCAGUGAAAUGCGUAGAGAUCGGAAGGAACAUCUGUGGCGAAGGCGACUAUCUGGGCCAACACUGACACUGAGGCACGAAAGCGUGGGGAGCAAACAGGAUUAGAUACCCUAGUAGUCCCUGUCUCUUAUAC
rnacentral:rRNA from 1 species